rnacentral:rRNA from 1 species
UACGGGGGGAGCAAGCGUUGUUCGGAUUUACUGGGCGUAAAGGGCGCGUAGGCGGUCGUGACAAGUCACUUGUGAAAUCUCCGGGCUUAACUCGGAACGGUCAAGUGAUACUGUCGGACUAGAGUACAGAAGGGGCAACUGGAAUUCUCGGUGUAGCGGUGAAAUGCGUAGAUAUCGAGAGGAACACCUGCGGCGAAGGCGGGUUGCUGGGCUGAUACUGACGCUGAGGCGCGAAGCCAGGGGAGCGAACGGGAUUAGAACGUACCCGAG